UAUAGCAUUCUUGUGCUCACAGGUAACCAAUGUUAUCUAAAAAGAUAAGAUAAAGGAAAAUGGUAAAUAUGACUCAAGGUUUAUCACUCAGCCAGUACAUUAUUGCAUAUUAUCGCCACUGUGUCACCACGAGUUAGAAAUGGCUUCCCCAAGGACCCAGCAAAAAACCCUCCUGGACCUGGCCAGAGCGGGCGACGCCGAGGCCCUGCAGGCGGCCCUCGCCUCCCUCGCCCCCGCGCCACCAAGGACUUCUUCGCCGAGAAGCCGCUGCACGUCGCUGCCGAAGAAGGCCACGAAGAAUAGUCAAGAUGCUG